rnacentral:rRNA from 1 species
UACGUAGGGGGCUAGCGUUGUCCGGAUUUAUUGGGCGUAAAGAGCGUGUAGGCGGCCAGGUAGGUCUGCUGUGAAAACUCGAGGCUUAACCCCGAGCCUGCAGUCGAUACGGGCAAACUAGAGUGUGGUAGGGGAGACUGGAAUUCCUGGUGUAGCGGUGAAAUGCGCAGAUAUCAGGAAGAACACCCGUGGCGAAGGCGGCUCUCUGGGACGGUACUGACGCUGAGACACGAAAGCUAGGGGAGCAAACAGG